GGGCCGGUAGCUCAGCUGGCUAGAGCACUUGCAUGGCAUGCACGGGGUCAGGGGUUCAAAUCCCCUCCGGUCCA
rnacentral:tRNA from 1 species